UCGGACACCGCUGCCAUCGGGUCCCCCUUGUCAGAUCUAUCCCCAACCUCUGGAUUUUGCUCUCCCGUAGCCCCUGCCGCGCCAGCAAAACAGCGCCGCUCUCGCCAACACCACCGCGCUCUCCUCUACGUCGCGCCGCGCAGACCUGCAGAGGGCCUACCCCCGCUCGCAUCUCACUCUCCCGCGUGAUCUAGUCGCCUGUACGCAAAGCAGGUUGUGCCCUCAGUCCGAGCUCCUUCACUGCACCCGCUCGCCUUCCCCGCGGCAGAGGCCGAGCACCCCGAUGAUUUUUCCUCACUUUCAUCUACCACUUCCCCAACUCCCAUUCACGAUCUGAAGCCCCCGAAGCGAGGUUGGAAUCGAGCUACCGCCGCGCCGCCGUGUCGCCCUUCGCCGAUCUCCCUGACCGUUAAUUUCCAGCUCCCUGCACCAGAAAUCGAGAUCGCCGCCGUCUUCCCUCCCUGCGCAGCCACCGCGUCUCCCGCGCUCCGCUUUCUAUCACCGAGUGAGCAAAGAUGGCUACCGCACGCCGUCGGCUUGACCACCUGCAGGCCUCAACCAAUUCGGAGCCCACUGAAAAUGCUGGUGGUAUGGUUUUAGCUCAUGUAUCUGCGUCACCUCUCACUGUCAUCAGCAUGCCAUGUAUGCACCAUGGUGAGCAGCAUGGCAACCCACAUCUUCGCAUAUGCACCACAGUUCCAGUUUUUGCAUCCCCACUGCUGCGCCCCUGCCGGUCUUGUGAGUGACCACUGUGUAAGUCACAGUGAUGCCUUGCCAUGUUCUUCUGAAACUGGUUAACACUUCCAAAGAUAAGAACAUACACCAUCGACAUCUUUUGCAAAGCAUGGAGCUAGUAUAAUAAGGUUUUACUUCUGUGGGAUUUUGCGGCAAGCUGACACAUGGCACGGGGUAGAACUUAUCUGUUGUACGUGUUGUGCUUUUGGUUCUGAUGCAGUCUAACUGGGUAUUUCGUGAGCACCCACUGGUUCGAUCAUCUAACUCCCAGUCCUCGGAGGAUGUUGCAGAGAAGCCCUCCAUGCAAUUGCAGUGUGUAAUGCCAUAAGCAUUGCAUAUUGUGGAAGGUCCACAAAUUGCAUAGACAUCACAUAUUUCUUUUGGGUUGACACCGAUCAUCGUCCAAUCCUGGACUUCUCUUGCUCAUUGUCGACAAAUACUGUACUAACAAUAGCAUGGCCUGGGACUGUCAUCUCUGGAAUUGAGGCAAAGUAUUUGCCAUCCCAUACACCGCUCAACCAAUAUGGUAUGGAGGAGUUCAAUGGUGCAAGCCAGAAUUGUUUAACACUACCAGGGUCUAACUCAUCACAGUACAUGCCGGUAGCUGGGUCCAUCAAGUUUUUCCAAGAAAUAACACGCCGAUUUAGGCCGGUGACCUUGUCCCAUCCAAGCUUCAUCCCAGGGAAAAUUGUAUCUGUGGGGUGAUCAAAGCUCUGCCAGAGAACCUCUGACGAGUUUGAAGAGUUUGCCAGGAUGAGAUUUCCACUGCUUAACAACACUGCAGUGGUGUUACUUCUUGUGAUAUGUGCUUGUGUAGACCAGAUUAUGGACUUGGUGGAGCGAUUUAAGAUGACAAGGUUGCCAUCGUUGGAGAUUGUGAGCUCCAAUGAGGUGGUGUUCUUGAUUGGGUCAUCCCUAUUUGCGACCCAUGCUGAAGUGAAUUUUGGGACUGUAUUGAACCAUAUGCCAAGGUACCAGUUGGUAGUGCCUUCAAAGGAUUUACUGCGUGUUUUGAAGAAACCAAGCGCGUACCUGCCAUUCUUGGAGAUGAGCUUGUCGUUGAAGGCAAGUGCUUGGCCAGCCAAGAUGGUGUCCGUUGUGGCAGAAAUUGCUGGGAUGAGUAGGAAGAAGAGCAAGGUGAAAACUUCGAGGAGAUGCAUGAUGACCUGAAGAGGAGGAUGAGUUUGCAGUUGCAUAAAUUGCAAAUUUAGGAUGGGUGCUCCGUGGUGAUUGCAGGAAAUAAGCACGGUGGAGUCAACAGUCAAGCACGCGUGCACAACAGCCAAACUAAGUUGAACGAAAACCUAUUGCAGUGGUGAUGUAAAGUUGUCAACCGAGUAGGUGCCGUCUAGCCGCUGUUCUUGACUUACUGGGUAUGUGUGGUGGAGAAAAGAGGAUUAACGAAGAAAGUGUGGGAAUGAGCUCCACAGAAGGUAUUUGCAAACAAACAUAAUUAUCAAGUAUCAACACAGGAUCCAAAAGAUACUAGUGAGCUACCUGUGCUUUGCUACAUAGAAGAAAAACAAAUCUUACUACUAGUGUUUUUUUGUGGAAAAUAAAAUUCCGCAAGAAAAGGUAAUAAGUUAAUUCUUUGUAAAUAUGGCUCUUUGUUGCGGAUAAAAAUAACGUACACCUUUGGCUUUGUCGUGUCC